GAAAAGCUAGUUUUUAAAAAGUGGGGGUGUGGUGGGAGGACCAAUGACAUUAUUUUAAGUGGGGAUGUGUGAGGAUCAUGGAGAUUUAAAUCUGCUGUGCUAUUUGUCCUGAGUACAUGUGAACUAGGCAGUUUCAGGGCAAGCUGCACUGCCACCUAGUCCCACCCCACCAAUAGGACUCAGUCCUAACAUGAUUGGAGGGAAGACAAGGAAUAAUUUUGCCAGGAUAUGUGCAUGGAAGGGACAUUCUCUAUUAAUUUCUUCUCUCCAUGUACCAGCCUGAGAGAGGCAUUAGCUUCUUCCCACAGCACUGUCCUCCUCUGCCUGUACCCAUGAUGUGUGUUCUAUGGGGCCAGAGAUCCAUGUGGGGGUGGUGACAAGCUGCACUCCAUAAAGGAGCCCCCUAUAACAAACACUGUUUCAAUGGCUCAAUCUAGUUGUAGAACACAAAGUCUUGUUUCUGUUCUUAUUUGGGAUGGGCUGUUACUAGUAAUUCUGGGUAGUGCCUAUGCCCAUAGGACCUUAGGUGCAUUAUUCAUUCAAGAUAAUAUGUCUAAGGAAAAGAAGGAAGCAACUCUCAAACCAAGAACCACACCUGAAUGCACCAGUGACCACCGAUCCUUACCUGGAAAGAAAAGAAAUAAACAUCAGUACCAGAUGAAGUUUCUCUCUCCGUUGGUGUGGGACACAGAGCAGAGAAAGGAAGUAACUGAAGGUAAACCCCCUGUGGAAUAUCAAGUCUGACUAUACCAACUGCUAACAUGUGAUUGAUGGAUGGGCGAUCUGUUCUUGCAAACUGGGAUACCAGGUGGCAGCUGUUGAGAAUGGUGGGGACAUUUGUGUGGACACAGAAACUAUACGAGAUGGCAGUUACUGCAUCCUCAGGCCCUCCCAGAGGGAUAUGAAUGCCGAGAUAUGGAACACUAUCAGUUUGAUUGCAUCAGAAGAGCCCUUAUUGUGCCAAACUGAGUAAUUCAGAAUUACACUUUUUUUAGUCCUUUCUUGCUCUAUUCACUUUCCUUGAUAAAAGAAGUAAUAAGUCUAGAUGUGGAUAGUCUUGGAGAAAACUGCUUACUGUAUUGCUUUGAAAAGCUCCUGUCUCUGGAGAAUACACUAGAUUUCUGCCACAGCCUAUAAAACCUACAAGCCAUUAUACAUUUUAUUAGACACCUCUUCAUUUUAAGCUGAGAAAAGUAAAAAAUAAGGAGUCUGACUUAGCUUAUCAGAGAAAAGAGAUUGCAAUGUGUAUUUAGGUCAAUAGUAGGGUGGGUUGAUGGAACCUUCAUGUCCAUUACAAUACAAGCGUCUAUUUGCAUUCUUUCAGAUGCAGUUUUCCAUUGUUCCAAACUGGAUUCUGCAUAUUCACAGUAUGUUCUUGUAAAAUUACU